GUUUCGUGAUUUAAAACUGCUGCGGAAAUACGGAAGUAAUAAUUUUUGCAAUUUGUAAAAUUCAGCCUUCUUUCUCGCGCUUCUUUCGUUCAUUCAUUCUUUCCCCACCUUUGUCAUAUUUUUCUUAACAUUCCCAAAUCUUUGAAUAAUUUUAUUGAUCAAUACUACACACUACCAAUUGAAAUUCGUUGGGUUUCCAAUUUCUGGGAUUUGUUUGUUUGAUCACAUUUUGAUUUUUCCGGUUGAAUAAAAUCAUGAAUUCCGGCGGUGAGACGGUGGUUAAGCAUGCCACCUACAGAAAUUCUGCUAAGGCUCCCGGAAACCCCGGGAUAUUGAAGAUUACUAUGGAAGAAUUUGCAUUUUCUCCCUAUAAUCCCACCUCUGGAGCAAGGGUUCGAGUUCGUUUCAAUUCCAUUGGAGGGUGAAGGGUCGGAAGGACAUGUAUGAAUUUGAGAACUUCAGUGAUAGAAAUAUGACAGGGUUUCGUGAGUGUCCUCAAAUGUUAGAACAUCCACUAAGGAGAGACUCUCAAAUGUUAGACAGGUUCGGAAUGGGCUGGCCAACUUUCCUCUUCUCUGACACCAUUUAGAAUCAUAGUUUCCAGAUUAUAAUCCUCAAUUUUGUUUCCGUUCCUAUCUUCUCUCUUGCUCCCGUUUGUGUGAUACGUAGCCAACACCAUUUCCUUAGUUCAUCUGCGAAAUCUACUGCAAGUGGUCGAUGUGGACUAAGAGAAGUAGGAUUCAGAUAGGCUGUUGCAGUCUAGGCCAUUGUGUGGAAGGGAAAACCGUGAUUGGCCUACUUCAUAGCAAAUAUGGUGUCUGGGACUCUGGUCACUGAUGUGAAAGUUGCAUGAUUUCCCAUUUUGUGUACUGGGAGAACGGAGUACAGGAUAGAGUAACCAACUUAACUUAUGGGCAAGAGAAGCUCGUCUCUUCAAGAAUUGCUCGAUUUCUGGAUUCAGCCUAAUUAUGGUUUUAUCGGAAUAGAUGCUUUCUGAUGGAAGAGGGCCUGUCUUCUUGCAUUCAGAAUCUUUCUACUGAUGGGUGCUCUGUCUUGGUUUUCCUAGUUUGAUAUUAUGCGAUUUCCCUCGUUUAAUGGGUUUGGAAUUGGUUACAAGCGAGGCUGCAUGUGUCUCGACCUCAUGAAAUCCAGCAAUGGAAGGGCCUGUAAGGCUGUAAUGAGUCAAGGGUCACUGACUUCUUACAUAUGUAUACUGAUAUUACGAGUUUCUGGUUAGGGUUGAUUUGAUGUUUAAACUGUUAAGAGUUUCCUUUUAUCAUGCUUAUACUGAGAUUGCUUCUCUUGUUUCUGUUUGAGUUUGUAGGUUGAUUGAUUGAAUGGCGCAAUGUCUUAGAUAUAUCUGAAGCUACAGGUGACAAGUCCUUCUUGCCUUUUGUUUUCUUCCAUUAUUUCUGAUUUCCUGUUCUCUUUAAAGCCAUUUUUUAGAAUUGCAAACUCCAGUUAACUAUGUACCAGUUAAGGUUCAGGCAUCAGAGGUUACAGUACAGACUUUUGUACAUAUUGAACAAUAUAUAAAGCUGAAAUAACGCUUUUAAAUUAAAAAGAGCUGAAUCGAAUAAUCAUUUUUCAAUGUUCUGUUACCCUGUGACGGACUAUGGUUGCGCUUGUGUGGGCGGCUUGUUUCUUGGUUGCCUAGAAAGGUGGGAACCUCUUCAUCUCUCUAGUAAUGUGUAAACAGACCAAAAAUAAAUAAAUAAGAACAUUUUUCUACCAAACAACAACCUUUAUGUAUCUAUACCAAACUAAGCUGGGUAAAUGGUAUGAUUUCGGAUGAUUCUGAAUUUUCUGGUGAAGCUCUAAACUCAUAGUUUCUGAAAUCCCUGCAAGGGAAUUUUUUGUAUACUAGAACAAUGGAAGUCGAGUUGGCAAACCGAAAAAAUUAGUGGGAAGUGGGAACAACUUUUGAAUUAUUGUAAAAGUACCUAGUUAAAAGUAGUACUAACCUAAAAAAUAGUAAUCCUCCGUCCAAAUUUGUUUCCAAGCUUGGAAAUUUGUUACUUAACAUUGUCAGUCACAGAUUCUAAAGAUUGCAAACAAGGGGUAAUAAACUUACUCCGUUUAGUAGCUACAACAUCUCCAUUUUUGCUUGAUUGAAAACUAUAAGAUUGUAUUGAGUUGUGGGUAUAUGAAAAACUAAAAGAUUUUUGAUGAGCAACGUUGAGGCAGUGUCAUCAUGGGAUAUGAUCUUCUGUUCUUGUUGUGAACAUAGUUAUCUUAGUUACCUAUGAUAAUUACGUAAUUGGUCCAGCUUCCCCAUUAUUGCUUUCUAAUUUGCAACCAAGUAAAUGGUUGGUUCAGGCUCCUGUAAUCGAAGAAUCAAAUUCUGAAGUAAUGCAUAGUAAUGAUGCUUAUUUGGUGAUACUGCUAGAAUGAGCUAUUUGCAUGUGAACUGGUCUGUAAUUUCUUCUAGGUUUCAGGAGAAGAUGAUGCCUGCAUUCUCACAUUAUGAUGCAAACUUGCAGAAGAGGAGGCCAAACAGCAGAAAAAAUGGAUCCAUAUCAAGAUUUAUCUAUGCCUUACUGUCCAUAGAAUUAUGUUUUAGUUUACUAUUUUAUUUUUACUGUAAUCUGGAGUUACAUGUAAAUAUUUUAUCGUCACAAUAAUAUAUGUUUUACAUAUGCUUUCGAUUGUUCUUGUAAACAACAAUUUUGGCUUGUGUAGGAAAAACAACUUUUACAUGUU